AAAUUUUAAUCUUAACAAUUAUUCUGUUAUUAUAUAGUUAAAGAUGUGGGAGCCAUUAACAACAUUGUAAUCAUACAUUAUUACUUGUGUUUUCAGUUGAGGAUAAAGAGGAAGCUCUCAAAGCAGAUGCUGCUGAAGUUAAGUCACAUGGAUGGAUUAAAUAUAAUUCACGUUGCUUUUGACUCAUGAGGUCAAGUGUGUCCUGGCUCAGUGCUGAGGUAAAUAUCAGAAUUAUAAAAUUAAACAUGGUAGCUGAACAGUCACGACUGGCAUCUGUACACAAUAUUGGGGAACAUAAAUUCCUGCAGAAUUUGCUGGAAAUGGCUGGUCUAUCAUACGCUUGGAUUGGUGCUUACAACUUCCAGGUAAUACACUUGUAUAUCACAAUGGCCUCUGAUUGGCAUCUGAAUUGAAAUAAAAAAAAUUAUUUAACCAUUUGUGGUCCUGUGUUAUUGAUAUUAUUGGUCUGUAAGACAUAUGAUUGUGUAUUGUCUAGGGAUCAUGGCUGUGGGUUGACACAGCUCGGUUCUUCUACAGUAACUGGUACUCACUGAGCAAUGUGCCCAGCUACCCAUGUGCUGUCAUGAGGAACAAUGUUGGCUGGACUAACACUAACUGUGGAUAUUUAUAUCCAUUCAUCUGUGCUAUUGACCUAAAUACAUGUUACAGGAGUGAGUGAUAACAUUUUGCUGAUGAUAUGAUUAGGAGUAAAAUAAACUGUGAUUAUUUUUGAGAACUUUUUGAAUA